AACGAACGCUGGCGGCGCGCCUAAUACAUGCAAGUCGAGCGAGAAGACGUAGCAAUACGUUUGUAAAGCGGCGAACGGGUGAGGAAUACAUGGGUAACCUACCCUCGAGUGGGGAAUAACUAGCCGAAAGGUUAGCUAAUACCGCGUACGCUCCUUGGACUUCGGUUCAGGGAGGAAAGCGAUACCGUGGGUAUCGCGCUCUUGGAUGGGCUCAUGUCCUAUCAGCUUGUUGGNGAGGUAACGGCUCACCAAGGCUUCGACGGGUAGCUGGUCUGAGAGGACGAUCAGCCACACUGGCACUGCGACACGGGCCAGACUCCUACGGGAGGCAGCAGUAAGGAAUAUUGCGCAAUGGGCGAAAGCCUGACGCAGCGACGCCGCGUGGGGGAGUGAAGGUCUUCGGA
rnacentral:rRNA from 1 species